GAUGAAGAACGUAGUGAAAUGCGAUAAGUAAUGCGAAUUGCAGAAUUCAGUGAGUCAUCGAAUCUUUGAACGCACAUUGCGCCCUGUGGUAUUCCGCAGGGCAUGCCUGUUCGAGCGUCAUUUCAACCCUCAAGCUCUGCUUGGUGUUGGGCCCUGCCCGCUGCGGCCGGCCCUAAAGACAGUGGCGGUGCCGCCUGGCCCUGAGCGUAGUACAUCUCUCGCUCCAGUGCCCGGUGGUAGCCUGCCAGAGCCCCAACUCUCGUGGUUGACCUCGGAUCAGGUAGGGAUACCCGCUGAACUUAAGCAUAUCAAUAAGCGGAGGA
rnacentral:misc_RNA from 1 species